rnacentral:misc_RNA from 1 species
CGCACCUUGCGCUCCCUGGUAUUCCGGGGAGCAUGCCUGUUUGAGUGUCAUUAAAUUAUCAACCCCUCAGGCUUUGUUGACUGGGGUGGCUUGGACUUGGAGUGUGCUGGUGCGAGCCGGCUCCUCUCUAAAUGCAUUAGCGGAACGUCUGUUCGCGGCUAGGUGUGAUAACUAUCUACGCCUUCUGAGCCGUGUCUGGGCCCCUGCUCCUAACCGUCCCCUUGCGGACAAACCAUUUAAUGUGUGACCUCAAAUCAGGUAGGACUACCCGCUGAACUUAA